AUGGCAAGACAUGGCCCCCAAAUCCAUGACCAACCACUCCAGGAAGAGGACUACAUAGACAUGGAGCUGAGCUCACCUGCAGCUGCAAAGGUGGUCACCAAUACAGCAAGCUUGCUUUGCUACACCACAGCCAUGGCAGCCUCCCCCCAGCAGUCGAGGGAGUUUGAGUUCCACAUGUCAGCUCCCGUUGACCACUGGGAGCCCAUAGCAUCGCCAGCAGAUGAGCUCUUCUACAAGGGCAAGCUGCUACCGCUCCACCUUCCACCACGCAUCCAAAUGGUUGAAAGGCUCCUCGAGAUCGCGGCUGACAAGGGCCUCCUCUCCGCGAGCACUGCCCCGGCGACACCAUACCAGUCGUGCCACGUUUCACCAGCAAAUUCAUGUUAUGCAAGUGGUGAGCUCAAUGCAGAGCAGUACUUCAGCGAGUGCGCAUCCGCCAGUAUUGCUGCUGCUGAGGUGGAAGCAGCAUGCGAAAAGAAGCCAUGGUCCAAGAAGCUCAAGUUCAUCAAGAAUCUCAACCUUGGUCUCAAGCUCAAGGCAUCAAAGGCUUACCUCAAGACAAUAUUUGCCACUAAAGCAGGGGAUCCAGAUGACAAGGGUGGUGCACCAAGAGCAAAUGAGUUCUCCACCGCCCAGGUUAAGAGUUGGAGGAAGAACCCAUUUGGCCAGAUCAGAAGCAACAGGUACACAACCUCGCCCAUCAGCAACAGUGCCACACUGGGAGGGAAGCUUAAAGAAGAUGAGUACGGCCAUAGAAGGUCAUUCUCUAGUGUCAUUAUCCGAUAUUCGUCAUCAAACAAGACAUCAUCUGCCUCAUCAUCGUCAUGCUCUUCGUCAAAUUCAUCAUCCUACAUCCCAAGCUCAAAUGACUCUGGUUUGGGGCCAGUGCUCAGGAGGAGCAGCAGUGCCAGCUCAGAGAUGGAUAAUCCAAUCCAGGGUGCAAUAGCAUACUGCAAGAAGUCGCAGCAACUGGCCUCAGUGAGGAAGAGUGCAAGCGAUGCAGGUUUCCGGUUCAUGUCAUCAUCAGUGUCAAAGAUAGCUGCAGAAUCUGAAGAUGCAGAAGACAUUUUUGAGAUUUGCAGACAACGGUAG
rnacentral:rRNA from 1 species